rnacentral:rRNA from 1 species
AUUGAACGCUGGCGGCGUGCUUAACACAUGCAAGUCGAGCGGUAACAGGUGUAGCAAUACAUGCUGACGAGCGGCGAACGGGUGAGUAAUGCUUCGGAAUCUUCCUCGUAGUGGGGAAUAACCUGGGGAAACUCAGGCUAAUACCGCAUACGAACUACGGUUGAAAGCAGGGGAUCGCAAGACCUUGCGCUAUGAGAUGAGCCGAAGUCGGAUUAGCUAGUUGGUGAGGGAACGGCUCACCAAGGCGACGAUCCGUAGCUGGUCUGAGAGGACGACAAGCCACACUGGUAAUGAGACACGGCCCAGACUCCUACGGGAGGCAGCAGUGGGGAAUAUUGGACAAUGGGGGCAACCCUGAUCCAGCGACGCCGCGUGUGUGAAGAAGGCCUGCGGGUUGUAAAGCACUUUUAGUGGGGAUGAAAAGCGCAAGGCUAAUACCUUUGCGUCUUGACCUAACCCAAAGAGGAAGCACCGGCUAACUCUGUGCCAGCCGCCGCAGUAAUAC